rnacentral:lncRNA from 1 species
AUGCAGUGCAUGCUGCAAAUCUUAAAAUCAUAGUUGUUACAAUUCAUACAUUUAUACAUUUUGAUACACACUCACACAUGCACAACACACACACACACAAUUUCUCUCAUAUCUGACAAACCAUGCUGUAAUUUUUUUUCUUUUUUAUCAAUAAAUAAUCCAGCCUUAUAUUAAAAUCAAGUUUGGAUUAUCUGUAAAAAAGAAUUGACGGCAUGGUUUUAGUCAUGUAUGAGAAAUGUAUGUACCAAAUCAACAAGCCAUGGACAACGAUUCUGAUGAGAAUUCCGGCAGAUACAAUUUACCGGCGAACAAGAAAUCAUUUACAAAGUUAGUAUCAAGGUGUCCUUCAGCUAUUUUAGCUGAAAGACACCUUCAUACCUCUUCUGAGCGAUUCUUGAAUCAUCACCGAGUUCAAUCAACACCAGUCUUCAUAUCUCUUUCUUUAAUUUCACUACCUCACUAUCUUUUACUUACUUCUAUUUUCUUUAAUUUUAAUUUAUUACUUUGGUUAUGUUUUUUUGUUUGUUUUGUAGAUUACACCAGAAACAGUGGUGUUACUAGCGCUCAUCCUCACUUAUCUGUGUUUCUUCACCGGUUAGUGGUGCUUUCUUCGGU